UACGAAGGGGGCUAGCGUUGUUCGGAAUUACUGGGCGUAAAGCGCACGUAGGCGGACAUUUAAGUCAGAGGUGAAAUCCUGGAGCUCAACUCCAGAACUGCCUUUGAUACUGAGAAUCUUGAGUAUGGGAGAGGUGAGUGGAACUGCGAGUGUAGAGGUGAAAUUCGUAGAUAUUCGCAAGAACACCAGUGGCGAAGGCGGCUCACUGGCCCAUAACUGACGCUGAGGCACGGAAAGCGUGGGGAGCAAACAGG
rnacentral:rRNA from 1 species